rnacentral:rRNA from 1 species
AGCUCCAAUAGCGUAUAUUAAAGUUGUUGCAGUUAAAAAGCUCGUAGUUGGAUUUGUGGAUUUCGCGGUUCGGUCGCACUAAUUGUGUGUACAUGAGUCGUGAGUCCAUCCUUGGGUGGAAUCUGUGUGGCAUUAGGUUGUCGUGCAGGGGAUGCCCAUCGUUUACUGUGAAAAAAUUAGAGUGUUCAAAGCAGGCUUAUGCCGUUGAAUAUAUUAGCAUGGAAUAAUAAGAUAGGACCUUGGUACUAUUUUGUUGGUUUGCGCACCGAGGUAAUGAUUAAUAGGGACAGUUGGGGGUAUUCGUAUUCCAUUGUCAGAGGUGAAAUUCUUGGAUUUUUGGAAGACGAACUACUGCGAAAGCAUUUACCAAGGAUGUUUUCA